CUCAAAAACUUAGUCUCAGUUCGGAUUGUAGGCUGAAACUCGCCUACAUGAAGCUGGAGUUGCUGUAAUCGCGAAUCAGCAUGUCGCGGUGAAUACGUUCCCGGGCCUUGUACACACCGCCCAUCACACCAUGAGAGUUGGCAAUACCCAACGUACGUGAUCUAACCCGCAAGGGAGGAAGCGUCCUAAGGUAGGGUCAGCGAUUGGGGUGAAGUCGUAACAAGGUAUC
rnacentral:rRNA from 1 species